ACAGCGAUGGAUUUCACGGCUGCAAAGUGCCCUGCUCCCAUUAAUUAAAAAUCUGUUAAGAAGAUUAGCACAUAAAGGUAUCAAAAGAAACCCAAGAGUUUCUUUCCCCACCGGCCCCCCGAAGGCGAGUGUGGGAGUGCUGGAUUGCUCACAUUAGCACAAAAAUUGCUCUUUUAAGGGUAAGGGCCUUGCUUCCAAAGUAACCGCUGACAGUUUUCUUCUGACUUCCCUACCAAGAAGUCCUUUAUGUUUAAUUAUAGUUUGUUUAAAUUAGCCCUGAUUGUUCACUUGCAGUGUUAGCUUAAAUACAUUCUGAACAUGCGGCUCCCCCGUGCCCUGCCGGUGCGGUGUGAGGAGGGCAGCCUCCAGCCCUGGCAGGUGCCCCUGCCACAGGGAUGAUGCUUGGGGCCACCCAGGAGGAGAUGGGGGUCUGGUGGGGUCCAAACUCAGCAUCCCUCAUUGAGAUGCUCACACCAGAGCAGGAGCCAGGGGUGGUGGUACCCACCAUAGGGUACCACAGCUGCCAAACCCAGCUCUGCAGCAGGCUCUGGUGAUGGGCAGCUCCUCACUGUGAUGGUCUCCAAGACCCCACCAGUGGCUCCUCUGCAGCAGGAUCCCUGAUCCAUCACCACCUGCACCACAUGGACACCGUCCCCACUGCUCCCAUCCCCACGCUGCCGCUGCUGGCACUGCCCAGCCUCUCGCUCAGCAUUGGUGCCACUCCUGGCCUUUGUCCACAGCCAGACACUGAGCAAAACAAAAGCACAUUCCCCGGCAGCUGAAGGUGCCAUUUUUACGGCUGGGCUGAACGAGGAAGUAUUUUUUGAUCUCUUAAAAAUCCUGAAUAUUAUCUGACAGUUUAUCUUGUUUCUCCGCAUCCGUGCCUUUGCCGCAACGCCAGCUCAUUUACAUGUGUAUUGCGCCUGCCUCCACGGGUGCUGAGGUCAAUUGAAACUCAAGAAAAGAGGAGAAAUUUAUGCAAAACUGUUGAUUGCAUUUGUAUGUAAUGAAAUCAUCCAAUAUUCAUCUGACUAUAGACUCUAAUCUGAAAGGAGAAGUGAAGGACAUAAGAGUCACUGGAAAGCAAUAAUGAGCUUCUGUAGUGAUUAAAAAAGCACUUGAGCUUUCUGAAAAUCCAGCCAGAAAUCGUGUCUAAUCAACACGGAAUAUAGGAGGCAGAGAUUACAUUGAUACAUUUUGCAAAGCUCACUGUUGAAAAUGUAUGCGAGCUGUAAACUCUGACAUGCCAUCCAUGGUCUGUUUUACACAAAUCCGGGCGGCACACAAUCAGCGCCCGGGCUCGUCCCUGGCACAAAGCAAUCUUGGUGUCUCUGCUCGAUGACUCACAAGGAGCGCAAUCACAUCUAUUUUGAAGAGCGAUGUUGGUUUUUAACUAUGUCGAGAGCUUCCAGCUUCCUUGGAGUUUUUCCUUCCUUUUGCCUCCGCUUCACGUUUCCACAUGGCCGCGGGGCUCGGUUUGGGAGGUGGCAGGAGGCUGGGCCCCGUCCGCCCCGGUCCCUGCCACCACCCCCUUGGUGCAUGUGCCCUGGUUCAGCUGCUCGGAACAAACCCAAGUGUCCUGGUGGAGCUGAGUGCGGAUCCUUGGGCAGCCCUAGGAAGGAUGCGGGUCUCUGCCUGGGCUGCGAUGAGUGGGGAUGUGAACAGGGGUACCGCUUUUGACAGGAUGCGAUCCCCUUGGGGACCACCAACCCAUGAGGCCAUGGCAGCACUUGUCAUGUGGGACCUGCUGGUGCCCCAUAUCUGCAUGUGCUGAUGGAAAAGUGUUCCUGGUGAGCACGGCAGUGUGUGGAGAGCCCAGGGCACAGCUCCGUAGGGUCUGGCCAUGGCCCUCUGCCAUGCCCUGCACCAUCCAGAGGCAUUUAACUGCUGAGGCCAAACCAUUUGGUGGCCAAAGCAGCAUCACUGACAUCAAAUCCAUGUUACAACCAGCCCAACCAUUUUCUGGCCCACAGUCCCUUUCCCUCCUGGGCUAUUCAGCACAGCUGGAACUCCUUCCCACCCGCCAACAGCAUCAGCUGCAGCUUCUUAUCAGCUCUGGGUGUGAUCCAGGCUGGAACCAAGUGAGAGGUUCCUGCUGAUGCUGAUGGAGGAAGUGUUUGGAGCAGGCAGGCCUCGUGCUGCAGCUCUUGGUGUGGAGCAGCAGGUGAUUUGUGCAGCAAAGGGAACACGGGACCUGUCCAGAGCCACCCUGUGUGCCAGCCGGCUGCAGUCACAUGACCAGUGGUUUAAGCACUGCAACCCCUGGAUGCUCCUCUCAUACAGCAGAAGCAGACCCACAGCGAGCACAACAUGGGUCACGUCUCCAACGCAAGACGCUUCUGCGCAUCAACCUGUUUGUUCCCAUGGUAAUGAUCUCCCCUUGCAAUGCCUCCGGUGAGGUGUCCUUACCUCUGGAAAACUGGCCAUGUUCACCACAAUGAGCUGCGGUGACUUCAGGGAGAUCUGCC